rnacentral:lncRNA from 1 species
AUUUAAUAUUAACCUAAUUGUACAGAUUUUUGUAAAAAAUUAAAAAUAAAAUUUAGCCUACACUAGAAGUAUUAUGAUAAAAUGGCCUAAUUUCAUUCACAGCCCGGUUAGGGUAUGGGAUGGUGUUUUUUAAUUUUUUUUUAAUUUACAUAACUAAACCUUUGGGGUCUUUAUGCAGUAUUAAACAUGAACAAUUUUAAUUUAGUGAAGGAUUCGUCAGAGCGAGUUAAACCGUUACGUUGUUGGUAUUUUGGGAGAGAUCGGCUCAUAAAAAUCAUAUGUUGAUGAAUGGGUUGCGCGGAAUCUUUUUAAUCCACUAAAAAGGACUCUCUUAUUUGUCCGAGUCAUUUGUUCAUGAAUCGGAAUGUUUUGAUUCACUAAGAAGAAUCACGCGACUACGCGACGUGGUUUAUUUUUGCGGACUCCACUAUGUGUUUGCGUUUGUGCGCUCGAGGACAGGUCAUUUAUACCACUGUUUUGCGACACCGUCUUUUAUACUAUGCCAUUCAAUUCCGACUGCAAGCUCGCAAAUCGGUAUUUCGUUCAAGCACCGAAACAAACUGUAGAGUAAGAAGAACGCGCAUGCGCAAGAACACGACGCUCAGAAGGGAAGACAAUUCUCCAGCGGUAUCUAGAAAGUGUUUCUCCCUUGAUUGCCAAGUUUCAGCAGGCUCUUGAACUCAAACAUGCUCCCCGAUUUAGAUUUGUGAGCUGGAGGACUCACCAACUGGAGGCCCAAUGCAGCCAUGGAAACACUCCUCAAAACACCUGUCAGACCUGCCCCUGUUCAAACACCUGCUGCAGGAAUCAGAGUCUACCAUCAGGGCUGGAUUUAGCACUCUCUUCCCUGGAGACUCUGGACAGAGAACGGUGUUUAGAAUCAAAUUCCCAAGAGAUCACACACUCCUGCAGGGAACCCAAUACACACUGUCCAAAAGCAGAACAAGAAUAGGACGAAGGGAUGUGUUUCUUGCACAAGGUGAUGGUUAGUUCUAAUGAUAACCUCUGAGUUAAGCUGAGUCAUAGGUGUCUUUUAUGAUGUGGACAUUGGGGAGUUUUUGCAAUGGCUGAGUUUGUCUCUUGUGGAAGGUGUGUAUUGAUUGCAGAGGAUGGAUAUCCAAUUGUCUUAGAAUUUUAAUUCCAUUAGUUUGUGUUACAAUGAGAUGUGAUCAUGCACUAGAAUUUGCUGUUAUUGGUGGUUUGUUGAUGUUGUUGAGUGUUAAAUUUUUUUUUUUAAAUACACUACCAUUUAGGGUCAGUGAUUUUUUAUUUUUUUUUGUAAUGAAGUUAAUACUUUUAUUCAGCAAAUAUGCAUUGCAUUGAUCAGAAGUGACAGUUAAGACAUCUAUAAUGUUUCAAAAGAAAUAAAUGCUGUUCUUUUGAAAUUAUAUUCUUCAACGAAUCCUGACCAUUAAAAAAUCUAUUACAGUUUCCACAAAAAUAUUAAGCAGCACAACUGUUUUCAACAUUGAUAAUAAUAAAAAUAUAAAAAUGUUUUGUUGAGCACCAAAUGAGCAUAUUAGAAUGAUUUCUGAAGGAUCAUGUGACACUGAAGACUGGAUCUUUAAAUUCAGCUUUGCCAUCACAGGAAUAAAUUGCAAUUUAAAAUAUAUUUAGAAAUAUAGAAAUAAUAUAAUGCUAAUUUAAAUUGUAAUAAUAUUUACACAAUAAUAAUGUUUUUACUGUUUUUGAUUAAAUAAAUAGCAGCUUUGUGAUCAUAAGAGUUGUUC